rnacentral:rRNA from 1 species
UACGUAGGGGGCUAGCGUUGUCCGGAAUCAUUGGGCGUAAAGAGCGUGUAGGCGGCCCGGUAAGUCCGCUGUGAAAGUCGGGGGCUCAACCCUCGAAUGCCGGUGGAUACUGUCGGGCUAGAGUGCGGAAGAGGCGAGCGGAAUUCCUGGUGUAGCGGUGAAAUGCGCAGAUAUCAGGAGGAACACCAAUUGCGAAGGCAGCUCGGUGGGACGUAACUGACGCUGAGACGCGAAAGCGUGGGGAGCAAACAGG